CAAGCGGCCCUUUUCAGGGCCAUAAAAAUUCUCACGAAAGAGUUAU
rfam:Culex pipiens quinquefasciatus supercont3.1351 genomic scaffold, whole genome shotgun sequence.